rnacentral:rRNA from 1 species
UGGGGAAUAUUGGACAAUGGGCGCAAGCCUGAUCCAGCCAUGCCGCGUGAGUGAUGAAGGCCCUAGGGUUGUAAAGCUCCUUCACCGGUGAAGAUAAUGACGGUAACCGGAGAAGAAGCCCCGGCUAACUUCGUGCCAGCAGCCGCGGUAAUACGAAGGGGGCUAGCGUUGUUCGGAAUUACUGGGCGUAAAGCGCACGUAGGCGGCUUUGUAAGUUAGAGGUGAAAGCCUGGAGCUCAACUCCAGAAUUGCCUUUAAGACUGCAUCGCUUGAAUCCAGGAGAGGUGAGUGGAAUUCCGAGUGUAGAGGUGAAAUUCGUAGAUAUUCGGAAGAACACCAGUGGCGAAGGCGGCUCACUGGACUGGUAUUGACGCUGAGGUGCGAAAGCGUGGGGAGCAAA